GGCGAAAGACAGUUGAAGAUAUUAUGCAUGGAAAAACCAAAACUGACUGGGAAAGAAAAUAUAUUUGACGGAAUUAUUUGCUCGCCAAUUUUGUCAAGUGGCAGUUCACACGACGAGAGUAAAGGUCGACAUUCACUACUGACUGAGAGAAACCUCACUUGCCUGGGCAAGGGGUCUAGAUUUUCUAGAUCUGGGGUCUAGGGUCUAGAUCUUCUGUCUAGAAUCUAAGGUUGGCAUUUUUCCAAGUACUCCACUUCUGAAGUCAUCUGUCACCGACAAGCAUCGCAAUUUGUGGGAAGAAAUUCGUAAGUUGGAUGAAGAGGAACUACCCAAAAUUCUCGUACCCAGAAUUCUCACCAAACGUACCCAAAUAGAAUGUACCCAAAUUCUCACCAAAGAAGACCAUAUUUUGUAUGGUGAAGUUGCUAAGUAAAUUGUGACAAAGAUCAUCGCCAAUCUUCCAAUUUUCACGAUGGAUGAAACUGCCGAGGAUCAUGGGAUUGUAAAAGACCGUGAUGUUAACAAUGGUAUUGAAACCAGUCUUUCAGAACAAAAAGUUGUUUGUGAAGAAGAAAAAGAUGUGAUUGCCAAUGGGAAGGAUGAUAUACAAAUUGAUGAGUCCGAAAUGGUGGAAAAUGGCGAAGUUAAAGGAGAUAAUGAUUUCAUAAACUCGUGUACUGAAUUUGAUACUACAAUUAAAGAAACAUCUGUCAAUGACGAAUCAUGCUUAGAAAAUACAUUGUCUGAAUUUGAUGAAAGUUCCGAAGAUGGGCAAUGGGACCUGAAAAACUAUCACCUACUGGACCUUAAAUUUUGAGAAUUGUGAAAUCCUUCGACGCUCAUCCACGUCGUGAAAGUCAAGUACGCCAGUUAUCCUGUAUUGACGAUGGAGUGUGGGUGUCAAUUCGAUUUGAUAGUACUUUGCGUCUUUAUAAUGCCCAUACAUUUCAUCAUUUGGAAGAUGUUGACAUUGAACCUUGUGUCAGCAGUCUGAUUGGUGCUGGGAAACUUGGAUUCUCGUUCGUUCGCAUUACUGCCUUAUUGUUGACCAAGGACCGCAUGUGGGUUGGUACAGGCAACGGUGUUAUACUGUCUAUACCACUGGUGGUUGCUCAACCAGAAUCUUCAAAAUCUCCAGUUACUUCCCCAGUAGAUAGUGGUGGGCCAGGAGGAGUAGUUCGAGUUUACACGGACACUGAAGGAAAGGGAGAAAAGACAGGAAGUUCUCGUUUUAUGCCUUAUUGUUCCAUGGUUAACGCGCAUAUUUCGUUUCACGGACAUCGUGACUCCGUCAAGUUUUUUGUCACCGUCUCUGGGUGCACGGACAAGGCAACUUCAUUAAUAUCACCUAAGCUGUCGUCGUCGUCAGUGAAAGCUGAGGCCACAUCUGCCUUUCUCGACGAAGAGAAAAGUUGGCUUGUAAUCAGUGGGGGAGAGGGUUAUAUUGACUUUAGAACUGGCGACAAUAUAGAGAGUGGUGAAAACAUUGGUGGUCCCGAAGAUAUUUCUCCUAAUUCAAAAACAUCUUCAGCUAAAAAUAGUCACCUUGUGGUCUGGCAGGUUACUGGAAAUUAGUAAACUAAACUGACCAUCGCUUCUUUUGUUGCUUCGCUCUGUCGGAUUCAAGUUCGCCCUAACAUUUAUGAUCGUAAAUCGCGCGAAAUUUUCGCAGUCGCCAGUGCUCGACCUUAACUUUUAAACU